rnacentral:rRNA from 1 species
UACAGAGGUCCCGAGCGUUGUUCGGAUUCACUGGGCGUAAAGGGUGCGCAGGUGGCCUGUCAAGUUUGAUGUGAAAGCCCCGGGCUUAACCCGGGAAUGGCAUUGAAUACUGAUGGGCUGGAGGAUUGGAGGGGGGACUGGAAUUCUUGGUGUAGCAGUGAAAUGCGUAGAUAUGCGGAGGAACACCGAUGGCGAAGGCAAUCCCCUGGGCCUGCACUGACGCUCAUGCACGAAAGCGUGGGGAGCAAACAGG